rnacentral:rRNA from 1 species
ACAUAUAAGUAAGUGGGUGGAAGAAAACAUAAACAUGAUUCUUUAAGUAAUGGCGAAUGAACAAAGACAUAGUCAUUUUGAAAAUUGUGGUCCGUGAUCAUGAAUUGUAAUAUUCAAAAUGCAUUGCUAACAAAAUUGCAUAUGUUAGUUUAUUGGAAAGAACAUUACAAAGGGUGAAAAUCCCAUGGUGUCAUGUGUAUGUUUUGUGUACAGUGUGCAUUUCAUGAUUCACAUUCAUUGACAAUUGAAUGUAAAGCGAAUGGUAAACUUCAUUUAAACAUAAAUAUGUUGUUGAAAACUUAUAUCGAACAAAUACCAUGAGGGAAAUGUGAAAAGGAUUUUGAAAAGAAAAUUAAAAGAGCUUACAAUUGCUGGAUUGAUAAGCAAACAAAACACACAUGUGUAUGUGCAAGAUUGUUGUCAUGUUGUGCAAUUCAUGCAAAUUAACAUUGCUUUGGUUUUUGUGUAAUUUUGUCAGCUUUGGAAUUGAGAAUGAUUUUUUUGAGUGUGAAUGGAUUGUUGUUUGUUAACAAAGGAAUGCACUUUCAAAAUCAUUGUUUGAUUUGUCAAUCAAGUUUGUGGCGUGUGUUGUGUGUCAAAUUUAAUUAUAUAAUUCACAAAACACAUGAAGUUUGAGCUAU